GGGCUUGUAACUCAGUGGUAGAGUGCUCGCUUCGCAGUAUUGCUUAAUUAAAAUGCGAGAAGUCGGGGGUUCAAUUCCCCUCAAGUCCA